rnacentral:tRNA from 1 species
GCCCCUGUAGCUCAGCGGUUAUUAUAGCUAAAGAGCGCUCGCUUCGUAAGCGAGAUGUCGCGGGUUCAAAAGCCUUGAAUCGCUGGCAAAAAAAUCGAUUCAAGAUUUGCCAGCAAGGCUGUCAAUCCCUCCAGGGGCU